rnacentral:rRNA from 1 species
CUCAGAUUGAACGCUGGCGGAAUGCUUUACACAUGCAAGUCGAACGGCAGCAUAGGUGCUUGCACCUGAUGGCGAGUGGCGAACGGGUGAGUAAUACAUCGGAACGUGCCCAGUCGUGGGGGAUAACGUAGCGAAAGUUACGCUAAUACCGCAUACGAUCUACGGAUGAAAGCGGGGGACAAUAAGGCCUCGCGCGAUUGGAGCGGCCGAUGUUAGAUUAGGUAGUUGGUGGGGUAAAGGCUCACCAAGCCGACGAUCUAUAGCUGGUCUGAGAGGAUGAUCAGCCACACUGGGACUGAGACACGGCCCAGACUCCUACGGGAGGCAGCAGUGGGGAAUUUUGGACAAUGGGCGCAAGCCUGAUCCAGCCAUUCCGCGUGCAGGACGAAGGCCUUCGGGUUGUAAACUGCUUUUGUACAGAACGAAAAGCCUUGGGUUAAUACCCUGAGGUCAUGACGGUACUGUAAGAAUAAGCACCGGCUAACUACGUG